UACGGGGGGAGCAAGCGUUGUUCGGAUUUACUGGGCGUAAAGGGCGCGUAGGCGGUCAGCACAAGUCAGUUGUGAAAUCCCCGGGCUUAACCUGGGAACCGCAUUUGUGACUGCAUAGCUGGAGUACGGCAGAGGGGGAUGGAAUUCCGCGUGUAGCAGUGAAAUGCGUAGAUAUGCGGAGGAACACCGGUGGCGAAGGCGCCACUCUGGGCCGAAACUGACGCUGAGGAGCGAAAGCAUGGGUAGCAAACAGG
rnacentral:rRNA from 1 species